UACGUAGGGUGCGAGCGUUAAUCGGAAUUACUGGGCGUAAAGCGUGCGCAGGCGGUUGUGCAAGACAGAUGUGAAAUCCCCGGGCUCAACCUGGGAAUUGCAUUUGUGACUGCACGGCUAGAGUGUGUCAGAGGGGGGUAGAAUUCCACGUGUAGCAGUGAAAUGCGUAGAGAUGCGGAGGAAUACCGAUGGCGAAGGCAGCCCCCUGGGAUAACACUGACGCUCAUGCACGAAAGCGUGGGGAGCAAACAGG
rnacentral:rRNA from 1 species